GGAAUAUUGGACAAUGGGCGCAAGCCUGAUCCAGCCAUGCCGCGUGCAGGAUGACGGUCCUAUGGAUUGUAAACUGCUUUUAUACAGGAAGAAACCCUGGUUCGUGAACCAGCUUGACGGUACUGUAAGAAUAAGGAUCGGCUAACUCCGUGCCAGCAGCCGCGGUAAUACGGAGGAUCCAAGCGUUAUCCGGAAUCAUUGGGUUUAAAGGGUCCGUAGGCGGUUUAGUAAGUCAGUGGUGAAAGCCCAUCGCUCAACGGUGGAACGGCCAUUGAUACUGCUAAACUUGAAUUAUUAGGAAGUAACUAGAAUAUGUAGUGUAGCGGUGAAAUGCUUAGAGAUUACAUGGAAUACCAAUUGCGAAGGCAGGUUACUACUAAUUGAUUGACACUGAGAGACGAAAGCUAGGGGAGCGAAUGGGAUUAGAUACCCGAG
rnacentral:rRNA from 1 species